ensembl:ncRNA T14G10.10 ncRNA
CCAGGAAAGAAAUGUUCCCCUUCAGCUUCCUCUUUUUCUUUUCAAUAGUCUAUACUACGAGAAAGAUUGGAAAACCAAAGAGACGGAGGAAACGUAAUACGUUAUCUUGUUACUAGCCUCCUUCUCUUCGUUUUUCACUGUGUGG